UGAGCAGGUCACCUUAGCCUUCUCCGGAAACCGCUAGUAUCCUGGCGGUCCGCGUGCCAAUCGCCGGCCCCUGAGCAGAAUGUUGGAUUCCGAAUCGACGAAAUCAGUUGUCGCUGCUAAGUUCUCGGAUGUUAUGGGAACCUAUAUGGCUCUAGGGUUUGAUCGGCUUUGUGUUUCUAAGGGCUUUCCUACAAAAGGGUUUGCUAGUGAUAUAUCUUCUUCUGUGAAGUGAAGUGUUUCUAGGUUGACAUUGCCUUCAUCUGAAUCAUGUGAGAUUCAACGACUUCUUCUCAUGACCAAAUGUGGAUGCUGCAGUUGGCUCUGCAGGGAUACAUUUUCCUGACAGUAUCUAUUACUGCAGUUUUUUAGGUUGAAAACUGCUGUAAUAUGUACAUGAAACUCACUGGCAAAGGUGUAUUUUGUUGUAGUGGCUAAAUGUGGAUGCUGCAGUUGACUCUGAUCCCAUUUCUGUACUUGCAUUGUCAAGUCAUUCAGCAGUAUGGUAAAAAUAUCACUGUGCACAUUUCAUUUAUUGUUUUGCUCGAAUAUCUGAAUGAGCAGUAAUGUUGAUGGAUCUUUGCUGAUUUUGGCCUUUUAUUUUAAUGCUCUCUAGAAACAUUUUGUGCAUCAUUCAAGACACUUCUUUUCAUCUUCAGGCUGGGAGGGAUCUCUCGAAACUAAGC